UACGGGGGGGGCAAGCGUUGUUCGGAUUUACUGGGCGUAAAGGGCGCGUAGGCGGUUUGUUAAGUUGGAUGUGAAAACUGUGGGCUUAACCCAUAGCCUGCAUCCAAAACUAGCAGGCUAGAGUUCUGGAGGGGAUAGCGGAAUUCCUGGUGUAGCGGUGAAAUGCGUAGAUAUCAGGAGGAACACCGGUGGCGAAGGCGGCUAUCUGGACAGAGUCUGACGCUGAGGCGCGAAAGCUAGGGGAGCAAACAGG
rnacentral:rRNA from 1 species